rnacentral:rRNA from 1 species
AUGCCGCCCAACAAGAUCCAGACGCUGCUGGGUCACGACCGCAAGGGACUCUUCUCAUGCCUGUACAGCGGCAACUGCGACGAACUCCCUAGCUUCUGUUUCAAACGCGAUCUCCUUGCGUCCAUCCCCGACUUAUACGAGGAGGCGUACGAUCGGCUGCCCGUGGACGACAUGCCAGCCGAAGCCGCCGACCAACUGAUCACAUCCAUGGGCAAAUACGGCCUCUGCCUCGGCCUCAUGGACCCCGUCACCAACAUCAUCCUCAACACCAUCGCCCACCUCCCGCCGGACUUCCGGGCAAACCCACCGCCUCCGCACAGCUGUAAGAGGAGGAGGAGGUCCAAGAGGUUGGCUGGCGCGGCGCGGCCCAAGGAUACCUGGCCCAGAGAUGCCGCGCCAUCCUACCUGGCUCUUCGCAGAUUCAUGGUCAGAUACUUCGGAUGCCUCAGUGAAGAACAGGCCACCCGGUACCUCCACUGGGCGGGCGCCGACCUCCCCCUGGCCGUUUUGCUCGUCGAGCACGAUCUUUACGCUGCUGAGCUUGAGCUCCCCGACACCGCCUCCAAAAGGACACAAGCUGCCCUCAUGUGCGCUGCAACCUGUGCGUCGCACCCAGCGCCCGACGCCCUAGUGCGGCUCCACACGACGCCCCUUCCCCUACAGAGGCUCCUCGCCACCGCCGCGUUCCUCAAGCCGGGAGGGCCCAAGCUCACUGUCGACGACGUCGACACCCUCGUGGAUCUACUGCGGUACCAGGGCAGUGCCCACCUCGACCUCCAGGUGAAACUGCUGCCAGGAGAAAGAGAGGUCGUCGUGUAUUGCCGGAACCUCAAGCCCGAUGAAGGGAAGCUUGAGAUUUGCAAUAGCACGAGCUCCGUGGAUGGAUUCGAUGUUGUCAGCAUCAAGGUCGAGCGUCAUGGGGACCUCUUCACAUCCCUGCGGUCUGAUCCUCAAGACAAGAGGUCCAUGAUAUGA